GGCGAUCCAUAAUCCUUUCUCAUCACUCAUCAUUUAUGCCAGAAGUGAUGAUGCAGUGUUUGCAUGAGCGAUUCAAGGAGUGGGUACCCAUUCGGGAGUAUAUCACCUAUGAUCACUUUGCUGAUAGUACUGGAUUUGUGGCUGGGGCUUUAUGCAAUUGGCGAGGUCUUACCCAUUUGGGAGCUUCUGCUGAUUGGGGCAUUGCAGAACUUUGUUGUGUAUGGAGGUCAUCCAAAAAUUGCCUUCUCUACCUCUCUGGGUGGUGAGUUAUUGCAUUCAUAGUUUUUUACCAAUUAACUUAGCACUUCUUUGUUGGUGUUUUUAAAUUUCCAGGGAAAGCUUGAUUAUUGGGUUUUUCCAAAAGUUUCAUUAGUUGGGAUUGAUUUUGAUUCAUUUCCAAAAUUAAUAAUAAAUACUGAUAUAGAAUUUAGUCUCAAUUUCAGUGAGAUAUUUGUGAUUAUAACAAAAAAAAUUAAUAAAUAUGUAUAUUUAUAUAUUUAAUAAAAAUAUUUUAAUUGAUUUCUUUUAUUUUUUAAAGGUGCAAGAGAGUGGAAAAUAUAAAUUUGAAUCUUUCCUUCUAUUAAUUAUAAAAACUCAUUACAUUUAUACUAGAAAAUAAAAUUAACUCUUAAUAUAUAGUAAUUAAAUUUCUUUAAAACUAUUUGUUUUAUAUUAAAGGAAAACAUUAUCAUGUGAUAUUAUUAUUAUUAUUAUUAUUAUUAUUAUUAUUAUUAUUAUUAUUAUUAUUAUUAUUAUUAUUAUUUGGUUUAUAGAAGAUUGUCAAGCAGAAGAUAUAUGCUGUUGGCAAAACAAUUCUCUUUAUAUAUAUAACUAAAUAUAAAUAUUUGUACACCUGAAAUUAUUAGUGAUAAAAACUAAAAAAUAAUUAACUUGUUUAUAGAAUUUUUUGAGGAAAUAAUUCAUUCUUUUAUUUUUUAUUAUAAUUCAAAAAUAAAUAAUAUUAAUAAAUUUAAAUUUAUAUAUAGUAGUGUCAAUAAGAUUUUUUAAAAGAGAAAUUUAUUUUUUUAAAAAAUAAUUAUUGAUAUGAUUGAAAUAGGACUGAGUUCUAAUAAAUCAAUCUGUAAAAAAGAAGAAUGAGGUGGUGAUUGUUUAUGUAUAGUCACUAUAAUGCUCAAAUUAGUAAAUUGAUAGAAUGAGUAAACCGAUAGAAUAAGCGAAUAUAAUAAAUUGCUUUUAACUCAAAAUAAAUGUGUAAGAAUGGGGCUUUUUACAAAAUAAAGUUAAAAAAGAAAUAUUUCUUAAACGCUGGUCCGCGAGAAAAAAUUUUUCGGAUCAGGGUGAAUCGGCCCUCUACCGCAUUUUAUAAGUGCGGUAGAGCCUACCACACUUGUAAAAUGCGGUACAGAGCGGUUAAUACAAAAAAUAAAAUUUUUUAAAUAAAAAAAAUUCUACCGCACUUUUGGUUAAUAUAAAAAAUAAAAUUUUUUAAAUAAAAAAAAUGAUACCGCAUUUUUGAAGUGCGGUAGAAUUUUUAAUUAAUUGUUUUAAAAAAAUCUACCGCACUUUUGAAGUGCGGUAGAAGUGGUCUCUGCCAGAUGCAGGAAUCUCUGCACCUGGCUGAGAGGGCAGAGACGAGUCUCGUCUCUGCUCCGUCAGUGGUUAAUACAAAAAAUAAAAUUUUUAAAUAAAAAAAAUUCUACCGCACUUUUGAAGUGCGGUAGAAUUUUUAAUAAUUUUUUUAAAAAAAUCUACCGCACUUCAAAAGUGCGGUAGGAGGGUUUCUCUGCCAGGUGCAGGAAUUCCUGCACCUGGCAGAGACGGGUGACCCAUCUCUGCCCCAUCAGCGGUUAAUACAAAAAAUAAAAUUUUUUAAAUAAAAAAAAUUCUACCGCACUUUUGAAGUGCGAUAGAAUUUUUAAUAAUUUUUUUCAAAAAAAUCUACCACACUUCAAAAGUGCGGUAGGAGGGUUUCUCUGCCAAAACCCGUCUAUGCCCCGUCAGCAGGAGGCAGGCACGCCUCCUGCUGAAAGCUUCUACCGCACUUUAUAAGUGCGGUAGAAUCUUUGCCAGGUGCAGGGAUUCCUGCACCUAACAGAGAAACCCUUCUCUACCGCACUUUUAAAGUGCGGUAGAGGAGAUUUAUAUCCCAACUACCCAACCCCACUAUAAAACCCCACCGUGUCCCUGCUCCAACUCCACGCUGCAAUUUCUUUUCUCCAUCCCCAUGCUGCAAUUUCUUUUCUCUCAACGCUUCACUACUUCUCUUUUCUCUCAACACUUCACUACUUCUCUUUUCUCUUAGAUUUCUCUCAACCCAUCUCAAAAAAAAUAUUUCUCAAUAUUUCCUCUCUCAGCCACAACCCAUCUGAACAAAUUUUCAAUAAAAAAUGUACGUUUUAUAUUAAAUUUUUGUAUGAAAUUUAGAUAAAUAAAAAUUUAUUAAUAAAAUAAAUUUUGUAUUUUGUAGUUUUUUCUAUUUCCGAUACAGUCUUC
rnacentral:lncRNA from 1 species